GUUUCCAUCUUACCGGGCAGCAUUAGAUUGGCUUUUUAAACAAGCAUCGUGAUUUCUAAUACUGUCAGGUAAAGAUGUCCUC
rfam:Daphnia pulex DAPPTscaffold_131_Cont5345, whole genome shotgun sequence.